rnacentral:tRNA from 1 species
GGGGGUGUAGCUCAGCUGGGAGAGCACCUGCCCUGCAAGCAGGGGGUCAGCGGUUCGAUCCCGCUCAUCUCCACCA